UUCAAAUUGACAACAACACUUUAAAUGGUCUGCAAUUUUAUUUGCUAUGGUCUAAAAAAUAAAAUAAAAAUAAAAUUGCAGACCAUUUGAAGUGUUGUUGUCAAUUUGGA
rnacentral:sRNA from 1 species